rnacentral:rRNA from 1 species
AGAUUAAGUUAUUAAGGGCGCACGGUGGAUGCCUUGGCACUAGAAGCCGAUGAAGGACGUUACUAACGACGAUAUGCUUUGGGUAGCUGUAAGUAAGCGUUGAUCCAGAGAUUUCCGAAUGGGGGAACCCAGCAUGAGUUAUGUCAUGUUAUCGACAUGUGAAUUCAUAGCAUGUCAGAAGGCAGACCCGGAGAACUGAAACAUCUUAGUACCCGGAGGAAGAGAAAGAAAAAUCGAUUCCCUGAGUAGCGGCGAGCGAAACGGGAAUAGCCCAAACCAACAAGCUUGCUUGUUGGGGUUGUAGGACACUCUAUACGGAGUUACAAAAGAACAUGUUAGACGAAUCAUCUGGAAAGAUGAAUCAAAGAAGGUAAUAAUCCUGUAGUCGAAAACAUAUUCUCUCUUGAGUGGAUCCUGAGUACGACGGAGCACGUGAAAUUCCGUCGGAAUCUGGGAGGACCAUCUCCUAAGGCUAAAUACUCUCUAGUGACCGAUAGUGAACCAGUACCGUGAGGGAAAGGUGAAAAGCACCCCGGAAGGGGAGUGAAAGAGAACUUGAAACCGUGUGCUUACAAGUAGUCAGAGCCCGUUAAUGGGUGAUGGCGUGCCUUUUGUAGAAUGAACCGGCGAGUUACGAUCUGAUGCAAGGUUAAGCAGCAAAUGUGGAGCCGCAGCGAAAGCGAGUCUGAAUAGGGCGUUGAGUAUUUGGUCGUAGACCCGAAACCAGGUGAUCUACCCUUGGUCAGGUUGAAGUUCAGGUAACACUGAAUGGAGGACCGAACCGACUUACGUUGAAAAGUGAGCGGAUGAACUGAGGGUAGCGGAGAAAUUCCAAUCGAACUUGGAGAUAGCUGGUUCUCUCCGAAAUAGCUUUAGGGCUAGCCUCAAGUGAUGAUUAUUGGAGGUAGAGCACUGUUUGGACGAGGGGCCCCUCUCGGGUUACCGAAUUCAGACAAACUCCGAAUGCCAAUUAAUUUAACUUGGGAGUCAGAACAUGGGUGAUAAGGUCCGUGUUCGAAAGGGAAACAGCCCAGACCACCAGCUAAGGUCCCAAAAUAUAUGUUAAGUGGAAAAGGAUGUGGCGUUGCCCAGACAACUAGGAUGUUGGCUUAGAAGCAGCCAUCAUUUAAAGAGUGCGUAAUAGCUCACUAGUCGAGUGACACUGCGCCGAAAAUGUACCGGGGCUAAACAUAUUACCGAAGCUGUGGAUUGUCCUUUGGACAAUGGUAGGAGAGCGUUCUAAGGGCGUCGAAGCAUGAUCGCAAGGACAUGUGGAGCGCUUAGAAGUGAGAAUGCCGGUGUGAGUAGCGAAAGACGGGUGAGAAUCCCGUCCACCGAUUGACUAAGGUUUCCAGAGGAAGGCUCGUCCGCUCUGGGUUAGUCGGGUCCUAAGCUGAGGCCGACAGGCGUAGGCGAUGGAUAACAGGUUGAUAUUCCUGUACCACCUAGUAUCGUUUUAAUCGAUGGGGGGACGCAGUAGGAUAGGCGAAGCGUGCUGUUGGAGUGCACGUCCAAGCAGUAAGGCUGAGUGUUAGGCAAAUCCGGCACUCAUAAGGCUGAGCUGUGAUGGGGAGAGGAAAUUGUUUCCUCGAGUCGUUGAUUUCACACUGCCGAGAAAAGCCUCUAGAUAGAUAACAGGUGCCCGUACCGCAAACCGACACAGGUAGUCAAGAUGAGAAUUCUAAGGUGAGCGAGCGAACUCUCGUUAAGGAACUCGGCAAAAUGACCCCGUAACUUCGGGAGAAGGGGUGCUCUUUAGGGUUUACGCCCAGAAGAGCCGCAGUGAAUAGGCCCAAGCGACUGUUUAUCAAAAACACAGGUCUCUGCUAAACCGUAAGGUGAUGUAUAGGGGCUGACGCCUGCCCGGUGCUGGAAGGUUAAGAGGAGUGGUUAGCUUCUGCGAAGCUACGAAUCGAAGCCCCAGUAAACGGCGGCCGUAACUAUAACGGUCCUAAGGUAGCGAAAUUCCUUGUCGGGUAAGUUCCGACCCGCACGAAAGGCGUAACGAUUUGGGCACUGUCUCAACGAGAGACUCGGUGAAAUCAUAGUACCUGUGAAGAUGCAGGUUACCCGCGACAGGACGGAAAGACCCCGUGGAGCUUUACUGUAGCCUGAUAUUGAAAUUCGGCACAGCUUGUACAGGAUAGGUAGGAGCCUUUGAAACGUGAGCGCUAGCUUACGUGGAGGCGUUGGUGGGAUACUACCCUAGCUGUGUUGGCUUUCUAACCCGCACCACUUAUCGUGGUGGGAGACAGUGUCAGGCGGGCAGUUUGACUGGGGCGGUCGCCUCCUAAAAGGUAACGGAGGCGCUCAAAGGUUCCCUCAGAAUGGUUGGAAAUCAUUCAUAGAGUGUAAAGGCAUAAGGGAGCUUGACUGCGAGACCUACAAGUCGAGCAGGGUCGAAAGACGGACUUAGUGAUCCGGUGGUUCCGCAUGGAAGGGCCAUCGCUCAACGGAUAAAAGCUACCCCGGGGAUAACAGGCUUAUCUCCCCCAAGAGUUCACAUCGACGGGGAGGUUUGGCACCUCGAUGUCGGCUCAUCGCAUCCUGGGGCUGUAGUCGGUCCCAAGGGUUGGGCUGUUCGCCCAUUAAAGCGGUACGCGAGCUGGGUUCAGAACGUCGUGAGACAGUUCGGUCCCUAUCCGUCGUGGGCGUAGGAAAUUUGAGAGGAGCUGUCCUUAGUACGAGAGGACCGGGAUGGACAUACCUCUGGUGUACCAGUUGUCGUGCCAACGGCAUAGCUGGGUAGCUAUGUAUGGACGGGAUAAGUGCUGAAAGCAUCUAAGCAUGAAGCCCCCCUCAAGAUGAGAUUUCCCAACUUCGGUUAUAAGAUCCCUCGAAGAUGACGAGGUUAAUAGGUUCGAGGUGGAAGCGUGGUGACACGUGGAGCUGACGAAUACUAAUCGAUCGAAGACUUAAUCAAUUUUUAAA